GUGUGUUUGAUGUCUUGCUCUAUUGUACAUUUUGACCCAAUCUCCUUAACCGACGUAACAGUUUUCCAUCUAUGAACUUCUUGUGGCAAGUCAUCAGGUAUGGAAUAUCAUUUAUAUACUCAUUAGCAAUAGAGCCUAUAAUGUCUUCCGUCAACUUACAAAAGUACCGUGGUAGCAAGUAAAAUCCGUAAAGCAUUGGCUUAAUAUCG
rnacentral:lncRNA from 1 species